rnacentral:rRNA from 1 species
UACGUAGGGCGCAAGCGUUAUCCGGAAUUAUUGGGCGUAAAGAGCUCGUAGGCGGUUUGUCGCGUCUGCCGUGAAAGUCCGGGGCUCAACCCUGGGAUGCCGGGUCGAUACUGCCGGACUAGAGUUCGGAAGAGGCGAGUGGAAUUCCCGGUGUAGCGGUGAAAUGCGCAGAUAUCGGGAGGAACACCUAUGGCGAAGGCAGCUCGCUGGGACGUUACUGACGCUGAGACGCGAAAGCGUGGGGAGCAAACAGG